GUGGAAACCGUGAAUUACUAUAAUGAUUGAAAAUAAUUAUUAAACUAUGAUCUCGACUAUGAUUAAAAUAAUGGAAGUAGAAUGCUAUUUCGACAUUUCGUUGAUUUAAAUUUCAGUAGACAAUAGUUCAUGUUAAUAUUUACAGAAUGUGAUGUAGUUUUGAAAUUUGAAGUUUUACACACAAUAUAAUCAGUGCUAGCACAAUGGCUUCGUUUCAUAGCGUGGCCUUUCACAAACAUAAACGCCUGAUAAUUGAUAAAUAAAUAAUCAGUGCGAGCACAACGGCGCCAAAAUAAUAACAAAUAACAGAAUAUAAGCUAAAUUAAAAACAGCAAAGCUUUACCUACCUCGAUCUAUUUUUCUAUUAAAGGCGCUAAAUUACGUAAAUUUUCGAC